UACGUAGGGGGCAAGCGUUGUCCGGAAUCAUUGGGCGUAAAGCGCGUGUAGGCGGUUCAGUAAGUCUGCUGUGAAAGUCCAGGGCUCAACCCUGGGAUGCCGGUGGAUACUGCUGGGCUAGAGUGCGGAAGAGGCGAGUGGAAUUCCCGGUGUAGCGGUGAAAUGCGCAGAUAUCGGGAGGUACACCAAUUGCGAAGGCAGCUCGCUGGGACGUCACUGACGCUGAGACGCGAAAGCGUGGGGAGCAAACAGG
rnacentral:rRNA from 1 species